UACCAACAUUAUUAUUAUUAUUAUUAACAGUUGUUUAAAUCCAUGCUUUAUUUUCCACAUAGGUUCACUGCACUUUGAUCUUGUAGGAUAACGGUGUUUGGGAUAUCUGUCGCGUUUUGAUCGCUUUUGGAACUACGUUUACCUUGUUUUGGUCAGUAUUCGGAUCAGAGGAAGAGACUGAUGGGCUGAACUUGAUUUCCACUGUACUCUGGGGUCAGAAGCCAUAGCAACGAGAGCCUCCCAAGGGACCCCGAUCUCCGUCAUGCAGAUGACCGGCCUUCAGUUUUUGGUUUUUUUAAUCAGCCUUCCUCAAAUUGCCGAGAGUGGAAUCUUCCAAGACCGCCCUAACGUGGCAAGGAGAGGAAUGCCUGGGUCCAGCCAGAUCACCACUAGACAGCCACCGCAUGCCCGCGGAGGGGAGGCGGGGGCUUGGCUUCAGGUGAGCGGUGGGGUGAGCCAGACUCCGAACAAGGAAGAGCAAGACGCCGAAGCCGCAAAACCCAGAGACAGAAUGUCCUCGAGGUAAUAAUAGCAGCAUCAGAGACAAGAGUACUAAUUUGCCAGCCACGGAUGAGGAACUAUUGGUUCAAUAUGCUAAUGACAUCACAUAGCAACAGCUACAAAAAAAUCGAGUUGAAAAAAAAGCCAUUCUUUGAGCAAUUAUAGCAUUUUAUCGCCCGUCCAAUUCUUCAGCUGUCUCUCCUGAAAGAAGCUGACUUCCACCCGUGCUUGAUGGGCUGGGGCUUAUUUUUUUUUUAAGUACAAGAAAAUUGAUUGAAUAAAAACAACCGCUUGAUUGGGA